UGAGGUAACCUUAAGGAGCCAGCCGUCGAAGGUGGGGGCGAUGAUUGGGGUGAAGUCGUAACAAGGUAGCCGUAUCGGAAGGUGCGGCUGGAUCACCUCCUUUCUAGGGAA
rnacentral:rRNA from 1 species